UGCUUCCUUUGCGCCUUGUGCUGAUGGAAAGAUAAGGGUUCUGGCAUCUAUAGUGCCCCUUGUGCCUUUGAGAACACUGUUAUAGAUCUUUUCUUGAGAUAUCGGAACUCUUGGUUAUAAUUAAAUCAAGAUUUUAACAAAUGGGCUGGUUAUGGCUUUAAACUAGUGGUUGUAUCUGAAUCUGGAGGCAAUUGUAUCUAUAUAUGAGGAUGGCUCUGACCUCUACUUAAAUCCAAUUCAUUGAGGAAAACAACAGCGACUACACUGAAACCUAUAAUCAGUGGAAGAACAUAGUCUAGGAAAAUAUGAAAGUGUCUCGCCUUCGUUACAUUAUCUUGUGAUUUGUCAUUUCUCAAUGCCGGGAAAGCGCACUUAGGAAUUAAGAGCCUUGACAAGGUGUUAUUACAGGGCAUACCUUGAGCUCCCUGACACUAGCAUGCCUUCGCUUAGGGCUAUCAUCUACAAAGUAAGCAAUGGCUUCUCAUUCUUUUUAGUUUUCCCGACUGGAGAUCAUUAGGACUCAUCUAUACUGGAAUUGGCGGUCCCUCAUCUGCAAGUACAGAAAGAAGGCGCAGCUUGGAAAUAGAGAAGGGGUUGCAGAUACUGGAACAUUGUUGAGUGUUGCCUUUCAAGGGUUAUAGCAUGAAUCAAUUAAACUAAGCCCUUCAUGCAUAAAGCAAAGCUUUUGCCACUUUGCCAUGAGAUUUUGCUAGUGUGUGCAAAUUAAGGGGGUGGGAUUGAAAGUGACAAAGGGUUGAUGAUGAUGAAGCAUCACCAUCCGAAACUGAAGAGGGGGAAAAGAAAAAGCAUAUUCAAGAUACAAGGCUGGGUAUUUUUCUCAUUGAAAACUGUGGUGAAAACUUUUUAUGUGCUAUCAUUGUAGAAUCAUCAAAUACGUAAGAAAUUGUUUUGUUUUCUCUUCUUGUGUGUGUGUGUGGACCCUUGACCACUUUCUGAUUUAUUUAUUUAUGGUGGUGAAAGGAACCUUUCAUCUAAUCACUUAGGCAGCAGACAGCUGGAACUGUUGUGAUUUGUUUUUGAUUAUGAAAGUGAUUUCAUCGAAGAAAAAAAAGUAGUUGCCUUCAUCUCACAA